ensembl:miRNA Mir7052 microRNA 7052
UAUCAUGUGGGAAGGUGGAGGCCUUUCCAGGAUUUCAAACUUUGGCUCUGCCCCCUCCUCCCCAG